rnacentral:rRNA from 1 species
GCCUACGGCCAUACCACCCUGAAAGGGCCUGAUCUCGUCUGAUCUUGGAAGCGAAGCAGGGACGGGCUUGGUUAGUACCUGGAUGGGGGACCGCCUGGGAAUACAAGGUGUUGUAGGCU